UACGUAGGGUGCGAGCGUUGUCCGGAAUUACUGGGCGUAAAGAGCUCGUAGGUGGUUUGUCGCGUUGUUCGUGAAAACUCACAGCUCAACUGUGGGCGUGCGGGCGAUACGGGCAGACUAGAGUGCGGUAGGGGAGACUGGAAUUCCUGGUGUAGCGGUGAAAUGCGCAGAUAUCAGGAGGAACACCGGUGGCGAAGGCGGGUCUCUGGGCCGUAACUGACGCUGAGGAGCGAAAGCGUGGGGAGCGAACAGG
rnacentral:rRNA from 1 species